rnacentral:rRNA from 1 species
GCUCUUUGCUUACAUAAAUAUAGGGAGUCGAGCCUGCCCAGUGAAUUUUUAAACGGCCGCGGUACUCUGACCGUGCAAAGGUAGCAUAAUCAUUUGCCUUAUAAUUGAAGGCUAGUAUGAAUGGUUUGACGAGAGCAACACUGUCUCCUUUUUAUUUUCAAGAACUUAACUUUUAGGUGAAGAGGCCUAAAUUUUAUUGAAGGACAAGAAGACCCUAUCGAGCUUAAAAGACAUUAUAGAAGUUUAUAUAUUUUUAAAUAAAUUUUCUAUCAAGCUUUUUAGUUGGGGCGACUAAGGAACAAAAAAAGCUUCUUGCUGAUAAUAAGCAGUCAUGUUUAGAUCCGAUAAUAGUCGAUCAAAGAAAUUAGUUACCGUAGGGAUAACAGCAUAAUCUCUCUUGAGAGACCUAAUCGAAAGAGGGGGUUGUGACCUCGAUGUUGGACUAGAAUAUCCUAAAGAUGCAGAAGUCUUUAAGGGUCGGUCUGUUCGACCGUUAAAAUUCU